GAUGAACGCUGGCGGCGUGCCUAAUACAUGCAAGUAGAACGCUGAAGAGAGGAGCUUGCUCUUCUUGGAUGAGCUGCGAACGGGUGAGUAACGCGUAGGUAACCUGCCUUGUAGCGGGGGAUAACUACUGGAAACGAUAGCUAAUACCGCAUAACAAUGGAUGACACAUGUUACUUUUUUGAAAGGGGCAAUUGCUCCAAUACAAGAUGGACCUGCGUUGUAUUAGGUAGUAGGUGAGGUAAUGGCUCACCUAGGCCACGGUACAUAGCCGACCUGAGAGGGGUAUCGGCCAAACUGGGACCUGGACACGGCCCAGGCUCCUUCGGGGGGCAGGAGGAGGGAAACUUCAGGAAUGGGGGCAACGCUUACCGGAGAACGCCGGGUGAAUGAAGGAGGUUUUCGGAUCGGAAAACUCUGUUGUAAGGCAAGAACGAAUGUUAGAGUUGAAUGUGCACACUGUGACGGUACCUUACCAGAAAGCCACGGCUAACUACGUG
rnacentral:rRNA from 1 species